rnacentral:tRNA from 1 species
UGGGAUGUAGCUCAGUGGCCAAAGCACUUGCCUAGCAAGUGCAACAUUCUGGGUUCGAUCCCCAGUAUCAAAG